rnacentral:rRNA from 1 species
UACGGAGGGUGCAAGCGUUAUCCGGAUUCACUGGGUUUAAAGGGUGCGUAGGCGGAUAGGUAAGUCCGUGGUGAAAUCCUGCAGCUUAACUGCAGAACUGCCAUGGAUACUAUUUAUCUUGAAUAUCGUGGAGGUUAGCGGAAUAUGUCAUGUAGCGGUGAAAUGCUUAGAUAUGACAUAGAACACCCAUUGCGAAGGCAGCUAAACUACGCGAUAAUUGACGCUGAUGCACGAAAGCGUGGGGAUCAAACAGG